GGACUGUCAGAGAAGGGCCAAGAAAAUGACUGGAUUUGAAGGUCCUUUGAGACUAAAGUCUGCCAUAAAAGGUGUGAAGAGGGAUUACUCAGUGGAUAACAAAAACAUCGAGGAUAUGUUAUCCAUGGGCAAGAAUAAGGUUUAGGACCAAAAUUACUCCUUUUGGGACUGGAAGGAAAACUGCCUACUUUUGAGCAGCUCGUAGGAUUUCUAAAUGCCCUGGUGUGUUGGGAGACAGUUCAAGCCUUGUUUUUUGGGGAAAAGUAGCUGCUACAGCUACUGAUCACUUUACCCAUAAGCACAGUCCAGCCAGCCUCCUCUGCG
rnacentral:lncRNA from 1 species